ensembl:lncRNA
GUCCAUACUAUUCAGGACCAAAAAAACCAGGUAGCUUUCAGAAAAGGAAAUGAAGAAAUGAAAGAAUUUCUCUAAAUAUUCAGCAAGUCCUGAAGCAGGGAUCAAACUUCACUGUUUAAAACUUCAGGUAUUUCUUUUGGCUAAAUUCCAAGAUUCUUUGGGGAGAAGAAUCUGUUGUGUGUUUGUUUCAGUGGGGCUCAUGAGGGCACAUGGUGGCCUGGCUGGAAAACACUAAGCGACAUCUCCCCCACCAUUUGCCCCUUCCAUGACUUGCCACUUGUUCAAGGCUCUUGAUCACAUGCAGAUCGCAGACACAAAAUAAAUUAGGCAGAUGGAGCUCAUGCAUCAAAGCCACCUAACCUGGACUCCUUUUUGACCAUUGGUGCCUUUUCUCUCUUUCUUUUUUUCAGUCAACCUCAUAAAUCUGACCCUGACAAGGUCUAUCUCUCCAUACUGAUAGUCAGAGGUGGAAUGGUAAUUUGUCCUCAGGCUUUCAUCUGCUUCUCCACUUGAGGGACCAUCAGUGCCAUGCGGUAAGGUGGCUCAGUGGUAAAGGAUCCAUGUGCCAAUGCAGGAGACCCAGGAGACUGGGAAGAUCCCCUGAAGGAGGAGAUGACAACCCACACAGUAUUCUUGUCUGGAAAAUCCCAUCAACAGAGCAGGUUAGUGGGCUACAGUCCAUGGGGUCACAAAGAAUCGGACAUAACUGAGCAUCCACACACACCCGUUUAUUACAGGGGCUCAGGUGUAGCUGCGCAGAGAUGUGUGCCAAGUCCUGCCAAACUGGUGACUCCUUCCAAAAGAACAGGAUGGUUCUCCAAGCACUGUGAACAUCUGAUGAUUACACUGCCAAGAGCUGUAAAGAACACAAUACAUUGUUAUGUCUUCUUCAGAAUAUCUGCUUCAUAAUAGCUAUUCAUGUAUUGGCUAAUGAUUACCAGGAGUCAAAUAAUUUUUCAAGAGGCUUAUCCAAAUCAAGGAUUGAAGGAAAAAAACAGAGUUAUCAGGGUGGUAACAUUGCUCUCUGAGGGGAGGAAGGCAAAUGCCUCUGUGUUGAAUUCACCAUGUUCAGGGACGUUUGACUCAAUUUUUAUGCCCUGGUCUUGAGCCUGUGAGUCUGGGAUGUCAAUUUUGAUCGUGUGGGCAAAGUUUAGAUUUCUCAUCACUUGUGGAGAGCUGCCUUCUGCCUUCUGGGAGCUGCAUCUUGGCUGGAUCUUGGGUCGUUUCUGAGUCUUUGCCUUUUUCUGCCUGCUCUUCUUAGAGGAGGCUGUCUCUUUUUCUCCUCUCAUCCAGAUGCUAUUUAUAUGUGGCUUAUGUUCCCCUGUCCUCUCUGGGUUUCCCCAGCUCCUUGCAUGGGGAGGGGACACCCAGGUUCUCUCUCUGUUCCUCUGAUGUGAUUUGUAUCCAUAAAAAUGGGCAGUCAUUUUCUACAGACACCUUUCUAUCUAGUCCAUUUUAGAGACCUUGAGGGUUGGAGAUACCUUAUCAUACUCUGGCAGCUUUUAUUUUGGCUAUUUACAAAAUACCAUUAAACUUCUUUUAUUGGUUCAUAAUAAAAUAACCUAUUGAAAGAGCAUCAUGCUUUCUGAUAUUUUUGAAUGCCCAUCAUUUCACCAGUACUAUAGAUGACUUAUGUUUGUUGGUGCUUUAUGGUAAACUCCAGGCUUUUCACUGGGCGCAGUCCUUGGGAGAAUAGUGUUCUGUACCCCAUGGAGACUGUGGCCUGCAGGUGUGAGCAGCCACCGGAUACCUGUGUUGAAGAUGGUGAAUAACGAGCUGUAACUGCUGCCACGCACACGGUGCAGUUAUUACAGGCCAGCCUUCUCAUUCUCUACGAUGCUAAUGCUUCAUUUUCAUUAUGUGUUUGGUUCUCAUAGCAGCUCUAAGAAGGAUAUUAUUACUCUGAUCCCCAUUUUACAGAUGAGGAAACAAAGGCUUGGAGAUACUAAGUAAAUCCUGCUUCCCACAAAACAGAGGAGCCUGGCAGGCUAUAGUCCAGGGGGUUGCAAGAGUCCGACACAACUUGGCAACUAAACUACCACCACCACAAAACGAUCACAUAGAAUUUGAGCCCAAGCCCCUCUGACCUCACACCCUGG